CGGAGUGUAGCGCAGCCUGGUAGCGCACCUGCCUGGGGGGCAGGUGGUCGGGGGUUCAAAUCCCUCCACUCCGACCA
rnacentral:tRNA from 1 species